AUUGAACGCUGGCGGCAUGCUUUACACAUGCAAGUCGAACGGCAGCAUGACCUAGCUUGCUAGGUUGAUGGCGAGUGGCGAACGGGUGAGUAAUGCAUCGGAACGUAUCCAAUAAUGGGGGAUAACGCAUCGAAAGGUGUGCUAAUACCGCAUACGCCCUGAGGGGGAAAGUGGGGGAUCUUCGGACCUCACGUUAAUGGAGCGGCCGAUGUCAGAUUAGCUAGUUGGUGAGGUAAAGGCUCACCAAGGCGACGAUCUGUAGCUGGUCUGAGAGGAUGAUCAGCCACACUGGAACUGAGACACGGUCCAGACUCCUACGGGAGGCAGCAGUGGGGAAUUUUGGACAAUGGGCGCAAGCCUGAUCCAGCCAUGCCGCGUGAGUGAAGAAGGCCUUCGGGUUGUAAAGCUCUUUCGCAAGGGAAGAAAACUUAGUUCUUAAUACGAGCUGAGGA
rnacentral:rRNA from 1 species